rnacentral:tRNA from 1 species
GCAUUGGUGGUUCAGUGGUAGAAUUCUCACCUUCCAUAUGGGAGACCUGGGUCAAUUCCUGGCCAAUGUA